ACGACCUUACUUGAACAGGAUCUGUUCUAUAGGCUCGUACCACUGUAUCCUUGAGUUCUAAGGAGACAGAAAACCAAGUCUGGUGGAUGAAUUAAAGCCAUUAGACCAGAGCGUGAUUAACAGCUCCCAUAGCCCUCGGGUCAUGACGCUGUAGAUGAUCGUUCUCAGCCUCAUCCGUGGGUGCUGCGAUGGUCUAAUGGCUAUCUGACAGACU
rnacentral:snoRNA from 1 species